UGCAGUCGCGCGGUUCUCGAAGUUCGGGGUUGGGAGUUCGAACCUCGAACUUCGAACCUCGAACUUCGAGACUCGCGGCUGACGGGUGAGUAACACGUGGAUAACCUACCCAUUAGACCCGGAUAACACCGGGAAGCUGGUGCUAGUACCGUGUAACCUCUUUAGAAUAAACGCCUUAAAGAGGAAAGGGGAAACUCGAUAAUGGAUGGGUCCGCGUCCUAUUANCUACUUGGUAGGGGAACGGUCUACCGGGGCCACGAUGGGUAGGCGGCCUGAGGGGGUGACCGGGCACCCUGGGCCUGAGACACGGCCCAUACUCCUCCGGCAGGCAGCAGUGGGGAAUAUUCCGCAAUGGGGGAAACCCUGAGGGAGCAAUGCCGCGUGAGUGAUGAAGGCCGUUGGGUCAUAGAACUCUGUCUUGAGGGACGA
rnacentral:rRNA from 1 species